rnacentral:rRNA from 1 species
UACGUAGGGGGCAAGCGUUGUCCGGAUUUAUUGGGCGUAAAGAGCGCGUAGGCGGUCCGGUAAGUCCGCUCUGAAAGUCCGGGGCUCAACCCCGGGAGGCGGGCGGAUACUGUCGGGCUAGAGUCCGGAAGAGGCGAGUGGAAUUCCUGGUGUAGCGGUGAAAUGCGCAGAUAUCAGGAGGAACACCAAUGGCGAAGGCAGCUCGCUGGGACGGUACUGACGCUGAGGCGCGAAAGCGUGGGGAGCAAACAGG